UAUUAGCUGAAGGACUGGGUGCCGUUUACUGUGAAGCUUUCUGAAUUUUUUUUAACGGUCAUUGUUUUAUAUUUAUUUAUUUAUUUAUUCAAUGUAAUCUCAUGCUAUGAUUGACAUUCGCACCAGUAUGAGGAGGAAGGCAUAAGAGAUUAUGGAGACAUAUUCAAAGACUGCUAAAUACUCUAUAAGGAGAACUACUACUAAACAAGGACUGCAAGAGGAAUAAUAAAAAAAAGGUUGAGUAAACUGAUCAUUCUUCCAAAUUCCUCAGUACUGUCAACAUUUCCAUUAUAGGAGCUGGACUGUGACUCGCCGAACAAACAGCAUUCUAGUGCCUAGAGGGCAGCAGUACUAUGACAACAGUGCUGCCACAGGACUCUGAACAGGAUGAAGAUACCACGAACCUGUGGAACAUCCACUUCAGACGACAACAGCUCCAGAACCGUCUUCAGUUUCUACAGGAGAUCCAAAAGAAGAACAACAGAAUAGAAGAAUACCUUGCAAAUGAAGAGGGCCCUUCAGAACUGGACAGAAUAGAAGAGGAGUUGAAGUUCUUGGAGCAAAAAGAGAAUGAUCUUAUUCAGAAAAAAAGCCAAAGUUUGACAACACAGUCCACAGACAAAG